rnacentral:rRNA from 1 species
UGAGUAACCUGCCCUUAACUCUGGGAUAAGCCUGGGAAACUGGGUCUAAUACCGGAUAUGACUCCUCAUCGCAUGGUGGGGGGUGGAAAGCUUUAUUGUGGUUUUGGAUGGACUCGCGGCCUAUCAGCUUGUUGGUGAGGUAAUGGCUCACCAAGGCGACGACGGGUAGCCGGCCUGAGAGGGUGACCGGCCACACUGGGACUGAGGCACGGCCCAGACUCCUACGGGAGCAG